GAUGGUUGCUAUGGUUCAUUGGUGUUUUGUUAUUUCGUCAAACAGACCAAAAUCAGUAUUUUCAAAUCCUUCCACAAAUCAACUCGUUCUGAAAAGAGGCCAAAAAGAUUUCAAAACUUGAUUUAAUAAUUUUACACAUUGUACGGAACGGUACCUCAUAGGUUACGCUGAAAACAAUCUGAUUGGAGUGCGUGAAAAUGGACACUGUAAACAACAAGAUACCCUCGAACUCACUUACUACAACUAAUCUCUAUAACGGUUUGACUCUUCCGAAGCGUUUUGAAAACCCAUGGAUACGGAUGUCAAGCAGGAGAACAAAAUCCUAUCUACAGAACAUCGAACUCCGACUAUGGUUACUACCCACCGUGUCCACAUACGGUUCCGCAUGAAUACUUUCCGA